rnacentral:rRNA from 1 species
CUACUUAUUGAAAAUACUGAGCAGUGGAUCACUUGGCUCGGGGGUCGAUGAAGAACGCAGCAAACUGCGCGUCGGAAUGUGAACUGCAGGACAUAUGAGCAUCGACACUUUGAACGCAUAUUGCGGGCUGUGAUUUGUUCACCGCCCAUGUCUGGCUCAGGGUCGGUUUGUCAUCCAUCCAGCUUCUUGCUGGCAUUGGGCAUCUCCCUCUCUCGCGAGAGGGUGGCCUCAAGUUUGACUGUGCGAGACUGCGCACGGAGUGCUGACUCUCGGGUUGUUCUUCAGCCUGGGUUGGCGUUAAGCUCCUGCGUUUGCUCGUGCUCGAGAAGGAAAAAUCUCUUUUUUUCCGUCUCCCUUUUUUCACGACCUGAGAGCAGGCAAGGUUACCCGCCAAAUUUAAGCAUAUUAAUAAGCGGAGGAAAAGAAAACAACCGUGAUGCCCUUAGUAAUGGCGAAUGAAACGGGCAGAGCCCAGCACCGAACUGCCGGCCAUCUCGGUCGCGCGGAAUGUGGUGUUUGGGAAAGCCUCAUCGCAGCGAGCCGAAGCGUUCAAGUACACCUUGACUGGGACCACGGCCCGUAGAGGGUGAUAGGCCCGUGAGACUUUUGGCUUGCUGCGCUGGCUUUUCCCUAGAGUCGAGUUGUUUGGGAGUACAGCUCAAAGUGCGUGGUAAACUCCACGUAAGGCUAAAUAUGACCCCGAGACCGAUAGCGAACAAGUACCGUGAGGGAAAGUUGAAAAGCACUUUGAAGAGAGAGUUCAAGAGUACGUGAAACCGCUUAGUAGUAAACGGAGGGGCUCUCGAAGUCGGCGGUGACGGUUCAGGGUGACGUCUGGGCGGCCUGGGGGCGUGGGAUCCGCAAGGACCCUGUCCCUUUGUUGGCUCGGUCGGCGCCUGCACUUCGUUGCCGCCAUACGCGACGAACCGUUUUGGACGCACCGAGGGCGUGGGUGAAGUUUGCGGGCUUCGGCCUUCAAGCCCCGCGUUCCUGGCUGUGUCUGGGACGGGUAGUGGAGCGAUCUCUUAUAGAGAGUGCCCUUGCUGGCACGGUUCGCAUCUCUGUCGCGAGUAGGUCGGCGGCCCCUCCGACCCGUCUUGAAACACGGACCAAGGAGUUUAACAUGUGCGCAAGCCAUUGGGCGUUCGAAACCCAAAGGCGCAGUGAAAGCAAAGUCUGACUUGUCAGAUGAGGGGUGAUCCUUCACGGGCGCAACCCCGGAGCUUCGCAUCGACCUCGCUUCGUGCGGAGCAUCAAGAGCGUACACGUUGAGACCCGAAAGAUGGUGAACUAUGCCUGGCCAAGUUGAACCAUCUAGUAGCUGGUUCCUUCCGAAGUUUCCCUCAGGAUAGCUGGUGCUCGCAAUCGAGUUUCAUCCGGUGAUCAGAACACCUGGGUGAGAAGCGGGACUUGCUUAAUUGAAGCCUCGCAACGAAUCGGAGUGCCUAGUGGGCCAUUUUUGGUAAGCAGAACUGGCGCUGUGGGAUGAACCGAACGUCGAGUUAAAGUGCCAAAGUGUGC